CGUGUCGUGAGAUGUUGGGUUAAGUCCCGCAACGAGCGCAACCCUCGCCCCGUGUUGCCAGCGGAUUAUGCCGGGAACUCACGGGGGACCGCCGGGGUUAACUCGGAGGAAGGUGGGGAUGACGUCAGAUCAUCAUGCCCCUUACGUCCAGGGCUUCACGCAUGCUACAAUGGCCGGUACAACGGGAUGCGACGCGGCGACGCGGAGCGGAUCCCUGAAAACCGGUCUCAGUUCGGAUCGCAGUCUGCAACUCGACUGCG
rnacentral:rRNA from 1 species